rnacentral:rRNA from 1 species
GAAUAGGACGUAUGGUUCUAUUUUGUUGGUUUCUAGGACCAUCGUAAUGAUUAAUAGGGACAGUCGGGGGCAUCAGUAUUCAGUUGUCAGAGGUGAAAUUCUUGGAUUUACUGAAGACUAACUACUGCGAAAGCAUUUGCCAAGGAUGUUUUCAUUAAUCAAGAACGAAAGUUAGGGGAUCGAAGACGAUCAGAUACCGUCGUAGUCUUAACCAUAAACUAUGCCGACUAGGGAUUGGGCGACGUUCUAUUAUGACUCGCUCAGCACCUUACGAGAAAUCAAAGUUUUUGGGUUCUGGGGGGAGUAUGGUCGCAAGGCUGAAACUUAAAGGAAUUGACGGAAGGGCACCACCAGGAGUGGAGCCUGCGGCUUAAUUUGACUCAACACGGGGAAACUCACCAGGUCCAGACACAAUAAGGAUUGACAGAUUGAGAGCUCUUUCUUGAUUUUGUGGGUGGUGGUGCAUGGCCGUUCUUAGUUGGUGGAGUGAUUUGUCUGCUUAAUUGCGAUAACGAACGAGACCUUAACCUACUAAAUAGCUCGAUCAGCUUUGGCUGAUUAUUAGCUUCUUAGAGGGACUAUCGUUUUCAAGACGAUGGAAGUUUGAGGCAAUAACAGGUCUGUGAUGCCCUUAGACGUUCUGGGCCGCACGCGCGCUACACUGACGGAGCCAACGAGUACAUAACCUUGGCCGAGAGGCUUGGGUAAUCUUGUUAAACUCCGUCGUGCUGGG